rnacentral:tRNA from 1 species
CGCGCCCGUGGGACGGCUGACCCCGGUCGAGGGCGGCUACGAGCUGUCCGGGCGGUGGAGCUUCUCCUCCGGAUGCGA